UCCCUGGUAGUCCAAAGGUUAAGACUUUGAGCUGCCAGUUCAGGGGCUCAAGUUCGAUUCCUUGUCAAGGAA
rnacentral:tRNA from 1 species